CCCCUCUCGGGAUCGCACCUGGCGAGUUUCCACUACUCUACCAGCCUUGGCGAUGGGAGGGAGAGUCAAACAGAGGCUUACCCAUUCCAUUCCUAGCUUGGCCAGUGGCUAGCGAGCGGAAGGCUAUCUGCUACAAGU
rnacentral:snoRNA from 1 species